rnacentral:rRNA from 1 species
CCUACGGGUGGCAGCAGUGGGGAAUAUUGGACAAUGGGGGGAACCCUGAUCCAGCCAUGCCGCGGGUGUGAAGAAGGCCCUCGGGUUGUAAAGAACUUUCAGUGAGGAAGAACGCCUGGUGGUUAAUACCCAUCAGGAAAGACAUCACUCACAGAAGAAGCACCGGCUAACUCCGUGCCAGCAGCCGCGGUAAUACGGAGGGUGCGAGCGUUAAUCGGAAUUACUGGGCGUAAAGCGCGCGUAGGUGGCUUGAUAAGCCGGUUGUGAAAGCCCCGGGCUCAACCUGGGAACGGCAUCCGGAACUGUCAAGCUAGAGUGCAGGAGAGGAAGGUAGAAUUCCCGGUGUAGCGGUGAAAUGCGUAGAGAUCGGGAGGAAUACCAGUGGCGAAGGCGGCCUUCUGGACUGACACUGACACUGAGGUGCGAAAGCGUGGGUAGCAAACAGGAUUAGAUACCCCAGUAGUC